GUUUAGCUUAGUGCUUGGUAAUGACAAAAGCAAACUGAGUUAACUAGAGAUCAUUUAUUGCUCUUGUUGCACAAAACAUGGUGGAUCUUAUAUAUGACUAGCUAAUCACCCAUUUACUGGUUUUGGGUGAUGGACUACCAGCUCAAUACAAGUGUUUUUUGUACUUUCUUUUGAAACCUUCUUCGGAAGCAAUGGGACUUAGCUAGCUAGUAUUGUAGCUAGCUAGUACUGACUUCAGUCCGCAAAAAGAUAAUAAUAAACAAUAUUAACUUUUAGCUCAAUUAGUUAAUGACAUCUUCAAGAUGCUUAGAGGAAUUGAUGUUUUUGAAUAUUUUAAUCAUUUUCUUAAUAAUAAUAUAUUAUUACUAUUGAAAUGUUGUGGGAAUGUUAAUUGAUUAUUUUAUUUAUUAAAUUAUUAUACCCA
rnacentral:misc_RNA from 1 species